AAAGAGGACAGUUUUACAUUGUUCAUAUUUAACGUUUAACCAUCCGUUUUAUUUGAAAAAAUUUUAUGAUUAGUAUUUUUGUUGUUAUUUUUAUGUGUGACUAAUUUUUUUUUAAUUUGUAAUAUUUUUUAAAUGAAACGGAUGAUUAAACGUUGAAUACGAAAAUCCACAAGUACACUUAAU
rfam:Oryza sativa Japonica Group DNA, chromosome 2, cultivar: Nipponbare, complete sequence.